GUUCCGUGAUGAUUGGCCUCAUGCGUGUCAUCUGACCCCCUCGCUGCCCCACAGUCUCCCUUCCGGAAGGCGUUCUGCCUUGUUGGGGGGAGAUGUGGGGUUUGCUUGGGGGAAGUGAUCAUAACCUAACAAGGUCCUGAGGAC
ensembl:snoRNA SNORD10 small nucleolar RNA, C/D box 10